UACAGAGGGUGCAAGCGUUAAUCGGAAUUACUGGGCGUAAAGCGUGCGUAGACGGUUAUUUAAGUCAGGUGUGAAAGCCCCGGGCUCAACCUGGGAACUGCAUUUGUGACUGCAUAGCUAGAGUACGGUAGAGGGGGAUGGAAUUCCGCGUGUAGCAGUGAAAUGCGUAGAUAUGCGGAGGAACACCGAUGGCGAAGGCAAUCCCCUGGACCUGUACUGACGCUCAUGCACGAAAGCGUGGGGAGCAAACAGG
rnacentral:rRNA from 1 species